GAAACUGUGACCUGAAAAAGGGUGGUGGUGAGCUAAGUGAAGGAGAAAGUAGGAGAAGGUAUUUAAGAAGAUUAGUACGUAAACCCUGAAAAAGUGAAUAGGUCUCUAGAAACUGAAAGAAGUUUGAAAGCACUGUUGAAGCAUAGAAAGCAGAAAGGAGUAUGAUUAGACAUGAUGCAGAAAAGACGGGAGGCAAUCAGAUGCAGUCUCUUGACCCCUAAAACGGUUUUAUUUUGGUUAUAGUCUCAAUUUAGAAUAGAGGUCAGCAAGCCUUUUCUACAAAGGGCCAGACAGUUCAUAUCACACUAUUCAGCUCUGUCCUUAUAAGGCAAAAGCAUCCAUACACAGUCCUUGGUAUAGAGAAUGAAAGAAAGAGAACAGGGAAAACCAUUUAGGAGUAUAGUUCAGUAGCCAGAGGAGAAAUGAAGACAUUUUAUACCAGGGCUGUGACAGAAACAACUUAUAUUCUGACCUGAUGGUUGGUAGUGUUUUAUAAAUUAGGAAGCAGUGGUGGAGGAUCAAGUAUAAAAUUGAAUGUGAUGUGCACAGAUUUUGACAUUAAGUGUGGGAUUUCUCUGGGUUAUCCAUGUGGGUGGGUAUGUAGUAGUUACUGUAUUCAAGUAUGCACUCAAGAUAAAGUGCUGAAAUGAAGACUUAGAUUGGGGAUUCCAUUUACAAAUUAUAGAUGAAGUUGUGGGAGUGUGUCAUCCAGAGAAGUCUGUGUAAUACCCUAAGUUGGGUCUUCAUUUAGUGGACAGGCAGAAGAUGAUGGACCUAAUGAUGAGACUGAUAGGAGGAAGCAGUAGGUAGGAGUUGGAAUAUAAAACCCUAGGAGGAUGCAUACUUCAGAAAAAAAGUGAACAAUAGUCAAGUGUGAUGGAGAGGCUAAGUGAGAUAGAACUAGAGUACUCAAUGGAUUUCGUGACAAAUUAAGUAAUUUAUUAUCUUUGAUAAGCAUAGUUUUGAGGUGGUAGAGGUAGAAGCUAAAAUGUAGCCUCCAGAGGUGAGAAGGUAGGAAAGUUUGACAAAUGUGGAGUUGUAGAACACUUAGCCUUAUGUGCAUCAAAACUUACUUCUAAUUAGCUUUUGUGUUUUAUUUAGAUAGUGAUGGUUUCCAUCUGAGUCUAGGGCUUGAAAUUAGUAGACCUGGAUUCAAACUACUACUCCUCACAUCAGUAUAUUAGUUGUGAAUGAGCUUUGUUUCAAGCAAAAGAAAAUCUGACUUAAGCCAUAGCCAGGUGUUUAUUUAAGGGGAAAGGAAGUCUG
rnacentral:lncRNA from 1 species